GAUCUUCUCUUUCCUUUUAGUGGCUUUUGGUAGAGCGGUGGAAAUGAUUCCGUUUAGGAAGCAUGCAAAUUAACAAAGCAUCAAUGUCACAUAAUGGUAUGAGCUUGCCCCUUUUUCUUGUGGUCCUUGGGGCUAGUGGUCAUCUCAUGACGGAAGUUCUAAUUGUCACGUCCUUUUGAAACCAAGGCUGCAUCUCAGAUGCAGAUAAAAGAUUGUCCUCAUUUAGAAAGUUUGCAAAC
rnacentral:lncRNA from 1 species